UUAUUCUGUGUGUGGCUAUUUCUUAAGGCAAAAUGAUAGUGAGAGAUUACAAGUGGAAUAUUGGUUGUGUAACAUGAGUAUAUCCACAAUGUGAAUUAGGUAACAGAAUUUGAAUUAUUUAAUCAUAGUCAAGAUAGUGGAUGAGUAUAUCUGAUUUAACACUUUGAAUCGUUUUAUGAGAUGAAAAAUUUUAAUAUAAAGCCCACAUUGAAUCCAUCAAUCCCACAAGAAAUGAGUCUCACAAACUGGCAUACUAUGCUCAAAAGCAAUAU
rnacentral:sRNA from 1 species